UUUUUUUUUGGCUGAAACUUAGAAAAAAUUCAUGUGUGCACUAUCCUCAAAUGGGAUACACAGAGCUUUUAUCAUUCUUAUGCACAUCAUUAACCAAAAACCCAAACAGCUCCAGGGUCAUGAAAAGGAGUGUGGAGCAUGCCACAAAAACCUUCUUUAUAUUGGGGGCAAUAUUUCAAUCAGGAUCUAAUCCACCACACAAUGUUUACAUUCAGAACACAUUUUUCUACCUUUUCCACAAGGGAAAAUGAGAAACCUUGGGAAAAAUUUACAUAUGCUAAAAGUAAAAGAAUGUUUUACCAAAAAAUAAGGCAGAGAAAAAUGUAUCAUUGUAUUGCUCAAACUAUGUGUACUGGGUUAAAUAGUGCCCUCCCCCAUCCCCCAAGUUCAUAUCCAUCCAGAACCUGGAAUAUGACUUUAUUUGGAGAUAGGGUCUUUGUACAUGAAAUCAAGUUAAGAUAAGGUCAUCCUGGGAUUUGUGCAAUGACUAGUACCCUUAUAAGGAAACAAAGAUUUGGAUGCAGAUACAGACACAGAAUGAAGAUGGUCAUAUGAAUAUGAAUACAGAGAAUGGAGUUGUGCCGCCAUAAGCCAAGAAAAGCCACACGGCACAUGCAAUUUAUUACAGUAGUUCUCAGAAACUAAUGCAUUGAAAUAUAUAUAUUGUGUAUCAUAUGGAAAAUGCUCACCUUUUGCUUUCUACCUGCCCAAAUCAUAUGGGAAAGUAUAUUCCUUGCCUCUGUCUACUUCGAUUCGAUUUACAUCUCUCCCUUCCACUUCUCAGUUAUUAAAAUGAGAACUACACAGUUUAGAACCUAGCAAUAUAUUCAUUAUCAUGUUCUACAGUUAUUCCUGAGUGAUACUCUUAAAUUCCAAUUAGAUUAUAACCUUAAUGAGGGUAGGAAUAAUAUUGUGGUUUUGAUUCCAUACAACACCAAACCCCAACUAUGCCCAGUGUUGUUACAUACAACAGGAAUGCUUUGGGGAGAUCCAGAGGCUACCCAUGACUCUAAGGUCAUAGAGCCUCUACUUCCAUUUCAUUAGCAGCCCUUAUUAAAUGCAAAGCAAGGUCACUUGGAACUAGGUCUCCCCUCACUUCUCUUCACUUUCACAUUGCAAAGAAACUGAAGGCCCACAUUCCAGGGAACUUGAGCUGGGACCUCUUUACAUGCAGAUAUCAGAAAGCUAAUACUCCAAUGGCUCAGGAGUAUCCUUUCCAAUAAUCCACUUCAUCAGUGAAAGCCAAGUCACUUUCUAUUAAAAAGUGAGUUGUGAAAUCUUGUCUGUCUUCUAACAGAUCUUUUCCCAACAAUACCACACACAUGGCCAUGUAGCAAUCACACAAAGGCACAGCACCUUUCUUCUGCCAAGGUAACUGAUCCACUUCACUAAGAAUACAUUGAUUUUUUGAGUUAAACUUCCAUUUCCAUAGCAAGACAGACAAAAUGACAAUACCAGUGUCUGCUACCCAGAUGACCUGUAUCCCUAUUGCUGUUGAUGCCAGUUAAUCUCACAAUCCCAGAGACUCAGACCUGGAAAUGAAUUAUGACAUUUCUCUCCUUCUGAGCUAAGGCACCUGUGUGGCUUUGCUAUUUCACACUGACUAAUAGGUACCACUGAGGGCAAGUCUCCUCAACAGAAAAGGAGUGACGGGAGCUUCUAACAUUUACCUUCUAAAAUAGAAUUGUGGGUGGUCUUUCCUCACAUGCAAUUACACACACACUGAGUAAUAGGAGCCACAUGUGUGCUGUCCCAGCCAGUUUAGAGGAAAGAAAGGAAAGAAAGGACUCCAUUAAGCCUUCCUUAGGACAGGUGAUCUAACAAAUAGCUACCCAGCUCACUCCACUACAUUCAUAUUUCAAUUCUCUGAGAUGGAGAAGAAAAUGGCCAUCUGGCCAAAAAUAAUAAUGCUUGGCUCAAAAAUAACACCAUAUCAAAUGCAACCCUCUCUCCUUGAGAGACCUGUUUCCCACUGAUAUAAGUUCAGGGCACAAUGAAGGGCAUCCCUGUUCCCAAGACAAGGGACCAUUUGAAGAAUGAAAGAAUGAGAUGCAGUCUAUUGGGAGAGACCCCAUGAUUGGAAAAUAACCAGUAGUUCUGUGCUGCCCAUGAGACAGGGAACAUGAGAUAAGGGGAAGACAUGAUUAAAAGGAACAUGUGCCCAGUAAGGAAAUCCACUGAUGGAGAAUAAUCCACAUGCCAUCAAUUUAGACCUAAGGCUGACAAUAUGGGCUGGUGAAACUGCCCCUGAAUCUUACUGGGAAAUGUCAUUCACAAUCACCUAUCUAAGUGGCACGGAGGAAGGGAGGAGGUGGUGGGGCACCUGAUAUAUUCCCUGCCUGGAUAUAAUCCCCCCAAAUGGCUCCCGCUCGCCAAUUUCUAAAAUGUAAGACUUCGACAUAUCAGAAAGACCAUUACAGGAAACAGUGUGAAAUCAACCUGUCAGUCCAUUCAGGACAAGAUUGAAGUGUCAGGACUGUGAAACAUGCAAGAAAAGUAUAUCACCAAGAUGAGGCACAUUUUUACAAGCCCUCAUUGUGCAGUUCCAGCCCCAAGCCCUACCUGUAGAAGCCCAGGGCAGUGCCUUUUCCCUGGUACCAUUCUCCAGGACUAGAAGCUGCUACUUUGCAACUUACCGUAAUUUAGUAUCGUAUAUAUUUUCAUAUCACUAGAUACUGAACUCCUAAGGAAGUUGGAUUGACAGAUUGAUCUGCACAACAUUGAUGAAAAAACUUCAUUUAUGAUAAAAUUUCCUAAUACAUUAAUAAUAGAUACAUACAAAUUCUUAUAAGCAAAAAUGUUUACUGCUAUUUAUAACAGAAAAGAAAGAGAAGGAGGGCGGGAGGAAGGAAGAAAGAGAAAGGAGGGGAGGAAGGAAAUUCAGUUAGAAACUGACGAAACCUAUUCAUUUGAUGAAAUAUAAUGUAGCCAGCAAAGGUAAUAUUUAUUCAAAUUUAACAAUUCCAUUGGAAAACAAGAUAGUAUUCUUGAAAAUAAAAAAAUGAAAGAUUACAUGUUCAGUAUGAUCUCUAAUAAACAAACGAAUGGACAGAUAGCUAGGUAGUCAGAAGGAAUGAAAGCAGACAGGCAGGGCAGCCAGCCAAAAUGUUUCUUUUUUUGAACUUUGAUGGCUAAAAUAAACAAGUAUUAGUUUCAUACUCAGAAACAUAUUAAAAUAAAUUUUGUACUGUAUGAUCUCACUUUGACAUGGAGUCAAAACCAACCAACCAACAAACAAGCAAAAAACACCCCAACUCAUAUACACAGAGAACUAGCAGACGAGUAAUUGCCAGAGGUGAGGAGUAGAGGAGGUGAGCAAAAUGGGUGAAGAGGGUCUAAGGAUACAAAUUUUCAGUGGUAAAAUAAAUAUCAACAGGGAUUUAAUACACAGCAGGGUGACUAUAGCUAAUAAUCCAUAUUUCAUAAGGAAAGUUGCUAAGAGAGUAGAUUUUAAAAGUUUUCAGCACAAGGAAAAAAAUUUUGUAACUAUAAAUAGUAAUGGAUGUUAACUAGACUUAUGGUGAUCAUUUCACAAAAUCUACAAACAUCAAAUGUUGUACACCUGAAACUAAUAUAAUGUUGUAUGUCAAUUAUACCUCAAUGAAAACAAUUUGAAACUAAGGAAGUGACAUAGGAGAACGUCAGGUUUUAAGAACUAUCUCUAAGCACAUUCGAACCUGUUACAUAGAAGAAUUUUCUAACUUACUUUAAUAAUUACCUUAAAAACAGCAAUAGUUGCUAUUAAUUACUUGCUUUGAUGUUAACAGUUAUAAAUCAGUGAAAGGGACAGUGUGUGUUCAUUAAUGACAUGAAUAGAAGCAAAGAAACUAGGCACUUAUGAUUAGAAAUUAAGCUAAUAGUAUUCAAAGUUCUUUAAACAGCAUUUAAAAAAGAGAAUUUGGCUUUGGGAGCAGGAUGUGCAAACUGGAUAAUACAAUUUAAAUGGAAUUAGCCACUCUGCUUGGGAUUACAGUAUAUAGAGCAUUGGUGACUUACUCUGAAACCAGUGACUUAUACUGAAAUCAUAUGCUACAGAAUUACACUUGAAGUUCCUAAAGAUAUUGAUAAAUAUUGGGUCUGUUGCUUAAGUCAGGUCAUUAGGGACAAGAAAAUGGAGAAACACUGAAGAAGUCUGUAAUAGUGUUCCAUGUGCCUUUGAGAUGGGCAUGUCUUUAAUAGUCAUCAAACCAUGUAAUAUUUAUCAAAUAAUCACUUACAUCAACAUUGGCUGUCAACUUUUUUGAUCAAACAAUACACUUAUAAACUCAAGCUCUUUUCUGCCCAAGAAAAGAAUCUGUUGCAUAUUUCAGAUCACAGCUUCUGUAGCGGCUGAAGUGCUUUUAGCAGGGGUUUUCAAAAUUGGUUUUCUUACAAUGAAGCCCAGUUAACUAUAAACAGUUCUACAUUCUAUAGAUGGUUCAAAAUUUCAAGACAGUCUGGAUAAACAGGUCAUGUGGGCUUACCUUAUUUCAGGAUUUCGUGCUUUUCUCUAACUUUAAAAUAGGUUGAAGUAUUUGACCCAGAGUUAUAAAGACUAUUUGCACAACCCAAGAUAUGCUUUUGACUCUGGUAAUAAAUCAAAAAUGGAAACAAUUGGGAUGUUACCUAUUAGAAAAACAUCUAGACAGGUGGUCACAUGAUUUUAUCCAAAGCAGAUAAAUUAAGCAAAUACGUGGCAUGAUAUUUAUUGUAUCAUUUUCAACUUGAGUGGAUACAUUUUUUUUUAAAUAGGGCUGAUUCCUUGAUUUCUUCAGACUGUAAAUGCAAUCAAGUUUCCACUUGGAAAUGAUAGAAAGGCCAAAUGGUAAUUUUCAAAAGAGCCUUUCUGAGGGAGUUCAAAGAGAAAAGUGCUAAGUAUAUUUUCUCGGAGAAAUAUGACUGAUAAGAUAUUUACCUCCAUUAAACUGCACUGGGUCAGGAAACUGACUCAGAACAACCAAAGGAGAUAACUGAAGCCACAAAAACAAUUCCAGAUGCACAAGCUCGUUGCACCCUCAAGCUUAAGAGUAGUUAUUUGACAACCAAAACACUUCACAGAUUGAAUUAACCCAACUAUGUCUCAUCUUCAAAAUAUAUUUUAUGAUGAUUUGCCAGAGUUUUCGGCAAAAUACUGGUUGAAGUAUAGCUUUCUACUAGCCACAAAAGUUUAAUCAAGCCUAGAUUUUUUUCAAAUAGUACCAAAAAGAACAGGGCAUUCUAUAUAGAGUCCAAAAAAAAAAAAAGCCUACACGAUUUUUGUUAUGAUUAUAAGCUCUUAAUGUCCUGGCAAAUAAGAUACUUUUUGUAAAAUCUAAAAUGCCACAUGGAGAUACAGUUCAUGUCCAUUUCAUCUUUCUCUAAAUUCAAGGUCAAUUGUUUGAUAUGCCUUUAUUAGCACUACGGCAUUUCUCCCUUCUAAAAGCUUUAGUAUAGACAAGUGGCUUUAGUCAUUUGGGGAGACAAAUAUUCUAACAUCUUCGUUAUGACUCCAAACUCACCAUCCCAUACCUUUAUCACUGGACUCUAUAUGUCAAAGCCAAUGCUCAGGAAGUUCCACCUAAUGGAAUAAUUAUAUCAACAAUUUACUAUAUGAUGAUCAUUCUCUAUUUGGUCCAGUUUACAGUCUGCUUCUCCUUUUUGUUUUCUCUCUUGGAUUUUUCUGCUUGCCCAUAUUCUGGUCAGAAGCUAGGACACCUUCAUAUCCAAAUGUGCUUUCCACCAAUUCUACAUCCAUCCCCUCUGUGAAAAAACUAGCAGAUAAUAUGAAAUGGGAAGCCUAAACAAUUACCACUGAAAAAGUCUUUGAGAAACAAAGUCCAUAUUUUUUUUCCUUACAGGGAAAAACAAACAAGCAAACAAACAAAAACAGCAGAACCACAAAACUUGUUUAGUGUUUGAAUUCCUGACAAUCAAAUAGCCACCAAGGUAAAACCUCACAGGCAUUACAUCAGCUGUAGUUAAAUGUAAAUAAAUCCACUGAUAAAAGCACAAAGGCAAAAAACACAGCUUAACUUAUUUUCCCAACCACAGGAGCCAAGAGGAAGCUGAAAUUCACUAAAUCAAACAAUAUCAAAAUGAAUCAGCACCUAGGCUCUGUAUCCAUGGAGUGAUGGUAUACCAUAUCUUGUUUGAGUCUCUGAACUUUUAUUGUUUUAUGAGCAAUGAAAUCAUCUCCGUGACCCCAGAGAGGGGCCACACAAGCAAACAUUAAGGAUGGAGCCCGAAGCAGAGACUGGGAGUCUCCUGGGAAAUUUUCCUUACUCCUUUUAUGCUUCACUAAUAAAACCUCAAGAUUGCAAAGGUAGCAUUGUACCCAACUGAAACAGAAUGUUUCAUAGGCUCACUGGAGGACAGGGUUAACAACUGGUAUAUAAGCUGAAGGCAUUGUCCUCGUGCAAGGGCUGCCUUAAAACUCUGCAAAGGUAUCUGAGUUCGCAGGUAUCCUGUUGUCCCCCUGGCCUCUUGCUCCUGCCUAGACUUCCCACCAGCCCCAUGGUGACCCUGAUGAUACCUUGAUAAUGGAAGCUAUAUGAUAAGAAUGAUGGGAG
rnacentral:lncRNA from 1 species